UACGAAGGGGGCUAGCGUUGUUCGGAAUCACUGGGCGUAAAGGGCGCGUAGGCGGCUUUAUAAGUCGGGGGUGAAAGCCUGUGGCUCAACCACAGAAUUGCCUUCGAUACUGUAGAGCUUGAGACCGGAAGAGUAAGUGGAGCUGCGAGUGUAGAGGUGAAAUUCGUAGAUAUCGCAAGAACACCAGUGGCGAAGGCGGCUUACUGGUCCGGUUCUGACGCUGAGGCGCGAAAGCGUGGGGAGCAAACAGG
rnacentral:rRNA from 1 species